AUUGGGAUAAUGAAGAAAAUUAGACGUUUUAAAAUUGAUUUCUAAUUGAAACUUGAUUUUUAAACCAGCUAUUUCUAAU
rnacentral:snoRNA from 1 species